GACGAACGCUGGCGGCGUGCUUAACACAUGCAAGUCGAACGGAAAGGCCCUGCUUGCAGGGUACUCGAGUGGCGAACGGGUGAGUAACACGUGGGUGAUCUGCCCUGCACUUCGGGAUAAGCCUGGGAAACUGGGUCUAAUACCGGAUAGGAGCCAUUUUUAGUGUGAUGGUUGGAAAGUUUUUUCGGUGUAGGAUGAGCUCGCGGCCUAUCAGCUUGUUGGUGGGGUAAUGGCCUACCAAGGCGGCGACGGGUAGCCGGCCUGAGAGGGUGGACGGCCACAUUGGGACUGAGAGACGGCCCAGACUCCUACGGGAGGCAGCAGUGGGGAAGAUUGCACAAUGGGCGCAAGCCUGAUGCAGCGACGCCGCGGGGGGGAUGACGGCCUUCGGGUUGUAAACUCCUUUCGCUAGGGACGAAGCUUUUUGUGACGGUACCUAGAUAAGAAGCACCGGCUAACUACGUG
rnacentral:rRNA from 1 species